GCCCUGCUGGGGCUUGCACGGCUUCCCCCUUCCCGAGCCCUGCAUCCCCCAGCCCGCCCCGUGCUCGUUCCUGCAUCCCAGCGCUGGCAUCGCGGCACCGCCCGCCAGCCCAGCCGGCCCGGCACCGCAGAGCGCAGCCGCGGUUCGGCCCCRCGCCGUCACCCUGCCCCGCAGCACCCGCGGCAGCGCCUGCUGAAACCCGUGGCCGGCGGACGCCGGAGCAGCCCAGCGCGUCGCCCCGGCCCCCGCGCCGCCUCCGGGCUGUGCCGGGGCAGCGCCCAGCGCCCCGCUCGGCCCCGUCCUGCCCACUCACCGACGCCAUACUUCUCCUCCUUGGUGGGCAGCCAAGGGGCCAUUUCCAGCCGUCCAGCGCGGCGCGGGGACCCGGGGCCCUGCRCGGGGCGUUUGCCUGUUCCUCCCGCCGCGCUUGCCGGGUCACGUGCAUCUCACCGGCUUGUGAAAACCUCCGCUUCCUCAACGCACAGCUGGGCUCUGCGCAGCCAACGGCCCCGCACCCCGCGGCGCGCUGGUGCGAGGGGGCGGUGGGACGGAGACCCCCRGCCCCCUCCGUGGGUGCUGGCCUGCCCCCAGGGCGAUGCUGCAGCGGCAGGUGCCCGCAGGGCCGGGUGGCUGAGCACCGGCUGCCCGAGAGGCCUGGGGAGCCCAGUGGGAUGCAGGGCCGGAGCCUGGGGGCGCGGAGCAACGGGCAGCUCCGGCCACCCCGCAGCGCAGGGAUCUGGCCGGGAGCAGUGCGUUCGGGACAGGCCGUGCAGCACUGCACCGGCACUUCUGGGACGAGGCCUCCGCCUCCRCCUCCCCGGCCGGGGCUGCUCCGUCCGUGUCGCUCGGUGCACAGGGAUCACCAGCACGAAUGCCUGCGUGGCGCGGUGCAGGGCUGGGAUGACGGGCUCUGCGGGACCAUGCCCAGCGCUUUGCUCUCCUUGCAGCAGCCCAAACGGUGAAGCAACGGCUCAGYAUCAAACCACUUCCUUCCUCUCUCAUCCACUGCAAGCCACUCGACGGCCCAGGGCGCCUCUGGAUUCACGGGACCCCGACUGGAUCAGGCACGAGGACUCUUGCCCCAGGCAGCAGAACCCAGCCUGGGCCAGGCCCUCUCCCGCAGGGACGUGCUGCCGGGGACACGCUGUCCUCUCUGGGGCCGUGCUCUCAGCCCUCCUUGGCAGGGCUCCGCAGCCAGGCGGCUGCUCUUGCAGCAUCUGUUUGAGCCGCUUCUCCGUCGGCCCCUUGGAGCCAGCGCCGCGCUCCCUGCCACGAGCGAGCGGUGCCCGAGGCGGCCCCGCACCCUGCUGCGCAGGCUGCCUCCCUCCCCGGCGGCCUGAGCUUGCAGCAGGGUCACCUCGGGCUGCAGCUCUCCCACUCGCCUGA
rnacentral:lncRNA from 1 species